rnacentral:pre_miRNA from 1 species
GAACCCAUGUUGGAGAAGGGGAGCACGUGCAAACUCCAUGCAGAGUAGCUCUCGAAUCUAGUCGAAAAUUUGCACGUGCCCUGCUUCUCCAACACGAGCUA